rnacentral:tRNA from 1 species
ACCCGGAUAGCUCAGUUGGGUAGAGCAACUGAUUUUUAAUCAGUUUGUCGCAGGUUCGAUUCCUGCUCCAGGCAUCA